UACAGAGGUCUCAAGCGUUGUUCGGAUUCAUUGGGCGUAAAGGGUGCGUAGGUGGCGCCGUAAGUCGGGUGUGAAAUUUCGGAGCUUAACUCCGAAACUGCAUUUGAUACUGCGGUGCUUGAGGACUGGAGAGGAGACUGGAAUUUACGGUGUGGCAGUGAAAUGCGUAGAGAUCGUAAGGAAGACCAGUGGCGAAGGCGGGUCUCUGGACAGUUCCUGACACUGAGGCACGAAGGCCAGGGGAGCAAACGGG
rnacentral:rRNA from 1 species